AGUCUCUUCCCUUCAAUUCUGUGUUUCCGUGAGGGCAACCGUGGUAAGCGUGUUCUGACAGAGGAACGUGUCUGGCUAUCUUUUGAAGUCUGGUGCCAGAGACACCUGUGGUUUUUAGGAGCCUAAGUUUCAUUGACUUUGGUGAAGCUUAGAUUGCUGACCACCUCAAAUUCUUUCAGCAUGCUUCAAAAGUUUCACCAGCAAUCUAGCCUGCAACAGUUGGAAGAUAAAAUGGAUCUACUCCAUUAACUUGCUCUACGUCCUUUCAAAGGGUGGCAUUAUUAAGAUCAUGAAUACUAGUUUUGGUUUCCAGCCGGCAUUCAUUGACUUUCAUUGGGAUGGCACUAAUUUAGAUUAAGUUCAUCUGCUUAUCAAGGAAAACAGUAUUAGCAAUGGGUAUGAAAUUGUGGGUUGUCAGCAAAAGUAGCAGAACUACUGUGACAAUUCAGAUAGCUGUACGAUACAGUUCUGACUGUUAGCACCUUGCCCUCCCUCUGUCCCCAUUAGAAUCUGGUACCUUUAACCCUGCAGUAUGAAUGGAAGAAAAUAUUAGCAGUCCCAAAAGAAGGAAUUUGCCUCACUUCGAACAGGUAAAUCACGACAAUAAACAUGACCUGCAGUAAAAGAGCCAGCUGUAUGCUCUGGUGAUCACCCAAGUGGUGACUCAGUUCUUCUAAAUACUAUUAUUCAUAUUAGUUGGUAAUAAUUAUCAGUGUAAAUCUAAACACGGGAAAUAGUCAUUAUAAUUGUGAUGAGUUGUGGGUUUUUUUCCUAUUUGAAUAGUCCCCAUGUAUUUAAUUUGAAGACAAUGUAUUUGCAAGUUCUUGGCCCAGGAGGAAAUGUUAAGAACUUUGACUCCUUCCACAUACCAGAAUACAAUGGACAAAGAUCCUAAGACCAACAUGUAGAAGUGACAAAGAGGGGAGAUUUCCAAUUCCUCUUCCUGUUUAAAUGUAUGUUAUUUGAUGGAUCUAACUAUGAAAUUGGCCCUGCUUUGAACAAGGGGUGGAACCACAUGACAUCCAGAGGUCCCUUCCAAUCUAAAUUAUUCUGUGUUCUGUGACUCUGUACUACCUGAUUGCUUUUGAUAAGGGACUUAUCUGUGCAUGAAGAAUAUGAUACAAAAUCAAGGUUUGAAAAUAACAAACUGCUGUUGCUGACUCAGGCAUGAGUACACCUUUUUUGCCAUUUUUUAAGACGGGAGUAAUAUUUAACAGCCUUCUAUUGUUGCCAGCUACUUAAUGGUAUAAACUACACCACACUGGUCUAGCAUGUCAUUACAGGCCACUGGGACACAAGCUGUUUAGUGUGGUUGUUUGAUCUGGUCCUUCUCAAAGAUUUUGUUAUCUGCAUGAAGAAGGAAAAUAGGAUACUAAGCUUUAUGUAAUAGAUGUUUAUCUUUUGAGGGGAAAAACAAUGUUUCUAGCCUUGGUGAUGUAUAUUUAGUUAGAGUUCUGGGGUUCUUUUUGUCUGAUGUAAUUUCAUACAGUCGCUUCAAAGUAAUUUGCAUUAGAUUGUAUUUUAGACAGUAUGGGGAAUGUCUGUUAGGAUCUAUACCUUUACUGGCUUGAAUCAGUGCAAUAAUAUACUGCAUUUUAAAAGCAAUUCCAUGUUCCAGAUUUUGAAACUUCCCAUUACAUUGAAAACUAUCUUCAGUAGAAGUUGUGUUGACAUUGUGAAACCAUGCAGAUUUUCAAGACUGUACAGCUGACACUAAGCAACUCAUUCCUGUCAUAAGACAUUAACGUUGUCCCAGAGGACAUUUUGGGAAGAAAAGGAACAAGCGUGAACAGGAGGAUGACAAUAACAGA